rnacentral:misc_RNA from 1 species
AAGUCGUAACAAGGUAACCGUAGGUGAACCUGCGGUUGGAUCAUUAAUGAAUUAUGUCCGAACGUAAAGCAAGGACUAAUUAGAGGUUGAGAGUUUUAACGAAAUCGCAAGAUUUUAAAGAACUUUCCCUCGCUUACACCUGUGAACUGUUUUGUCUUUGGAAGAGUAAUUAACUUCCACUGGCUACCCAAAUUUAUAGUCUUUAGAAACUAGUCUUAAAUAAACAACUUAAAUGUUGAUACAACUUUUGACAACGGAUCUCUUGGCUCUC